UCAAAGCCUGUCGCUUUCUAGCAAGUAGCGAUGGAGUGUUACAUUUAUAGGAUAUGCAUUUUUGUGCUUGUUAUGAAUCACGUGUGUUGGGCAAAUCGCCCAGGGAAACGAGGCCCAGCAGGGCCUAAAGGAGAGCAAGGGGAACCCGGGUUGGACGGUGUAUCCGGUAUGAAGGGAGACAAAGGCGAUAGAGGCAUUUGUGAUUGUGCCGAUAUUUCGCAAACUCAAGACGCACUCCAGAUACAAGAAGAACGAUUGCGAUUAGCGGCGAAAGACUGGUAUAUGGUUGAGGAUAGUAAUGCCAUACAGUAUUGGUUCAAGGUGUUUUACGACAAAUCAAAUUACCAAGAUGCAAAAAUGAACUGCGUGAAGCACAACGCAAAAUAGGCAGCAAAAGGACUCAGAAUAUCUUCAGUUCUGAAGGAAGUUGUGGAUCGCUCGGUCAGGCCUUUAAACAAGCCUUUCUGGAUAGGUCUUGAUGACCUAAUGAAGCAAAACACCUGGGUGUGGUCUGAUGGAGUACAUUCAACAAGAACCAACACCGCUUGGGGAUCGGGCCAGCCCAGUAAUUCACAUGAAAGAUGCGGAGACUUUUACCCUGGAAUCAAUUUCCAGAUAAAUGACGCUCCAUGUUCAUAUGCGUAUUUCUACUUGUGCGAGAAAGUUUUAUUGGAAUGGAGAAAAGUACAAACUUAUUUGAUUGUUACGGUAAAUUUACACGGACAAUUUUGUAUUGUGUGUACCCAGGAUAAACUUUCGACUUUAGUCCAAGAGACUACCCUGUUUUGCAUCUGUUUCAUAUUAAACGGCUAUUUCAAAUAAACAUGUAAAUGUAUA